GAAGUGUCAAUUGGGCUGUCCAA
rnacentral:siRNA from 1 species